UACGAAGGGUGCAAACGUUGCUCGGAAUCAUUGGGCGUAAAGCGCACGUAGGCGGCUUGCCAAGUCGGACGUGAAAUCCCUCAGCUCAACUGAGGACGUGCAUCCGAAACUGGCGAGCUAGAGUACGAAAGAGGAUCGCGGAAUUCCCGGUGUAGAGGUGAAAUUCGUAGAUAUCGGGAGGAACACCGGUGGCGAAGGCGGCGAUCUGGGUCGAUACUGACGCUGAGGUGCGAAAGCGUGGGGAGCAAACAGG
rnacentral:rRNA from 1 species